UUGGCAAAUGAUGGGACUUAAUUAUAGUAAAUACUAACAUUCGCAUUUAGGCCGGUAUUAUCCAGAGGAUUGGUUUGAGAACCAAGUCCUCCCUUAGGAGCGAUGGAGUUUGAAUCGCCAUUGUGCUCGCCAGAAUCCGUAGCAUCCACCAACUCUACAAUACCUACUUCUUCUUGUAUCAAUCAACAAAAAUAAGAAUUAUGUCCCCUAUUCAUAGAAAGACAUUAGGCCCACUGGAUGUAAGAGUAAAAUUUUAUCGUUUUGUUUUGUUAUUUAUUAUUAACAUCCCAUUAGGAGGUUAUAAUAAUGGGGUCGGUUGUUGAAAUUCGUAAUUUUAUCAUAUUUAAAAAAGACUGUAAAAUAAGUUCAGUGAACAGAAUAUUUGAAAUUGAUUUUACUUAUUGAGUGAUUAAUAUUGUUGAACACUAAGAUUUCAGUUAAUGGGAAGUUCGUUGUCAGGGCACAAAUUAAGCCUGGACCCACUUUUUUCAUCAUAUGAAGAUACCUAACCCUAAAAAUAAUUUAAUUGUUUUUCUGUUAUGACAGUGUUGUCACAAAAUCAACUCUAAUAGCUCUUAUCUCUCUAAUGGUGUAUACGUUAACGCAAUUGCAUAAGAAAUCAACUUGGCACAACGGAGUUCUAGUCGCCAAUCAAUGGAUAUGGAAAUUUUAAAUUAAAUCAAGUAAUUUUCGUGGCUGAGUUAGGAUUCUCAUAAUACUUGAUGGCAUAUGUACAGAUUCUAUGUAGUGCUCAUCACAGAAGAGCUAAUAAUAAAUGAUGGUAAAGCAUGUGACAUUCAGGCUUCCAUCAUUAUCUACCUGCCUCUACCAAUUCUAUUGUGUGAAAGAAAUUUUAAAUAAAAAUAACAUUGGUUGGAAAUCGAUUGAUAAACAUAAAAAAAAUGUAAUCCUCAUCGAUUUUGAAGAAACCAAUUUCAGUAAAUUAUGACUGAGUCGCGUUACUCUCUGUCACAGCGGUGCCUUGGUUAUGUCGGAAAGGAUUGCUCUUAUCAGAGCCACCAACCUGAUUUUUUUAGCGUUUGAUUAGACAUAUUAGAACCUGAAGAAUAUGUUCCAGUGUUCGUUUGUUGACCAGCAUCUUCAGUCUUCAAGGAAAUUUUACCAGCCAUGGAUGGAUUCUUAUUUGACACGUUUCAACAAAAAGCACGUGGCAGUCCACGUGUUUCUACAUCACUACACGAUGCUCUAUGAUUAGAUGUAUAUGAACACAGUGGAGAUCAUUGGUAUUUGUUAGUGUAGUAAGUUGACAAUACAUACUUAUCUCACUUGCAUUUAUUGAAUCUUUACUUCUCUUCAUAUUACUCAUAACCUUACAAAAUGUUUUCCUUUUCAAUUUUCAUCCUGAAUAGAACUACCGGUAAUCAAUUGUCAAUUUUAAUGUAUUAUUCUUAGAAACGUAAGGGUUACUUUAACAAAGAAAUUGACCAAAUUUAGAAUAUCAUAUUGCACAACUUAUUUAUUUACGUUUACCUAACGUUGGAUUGUCAUUUAGAUCAAUCAGACUGAUCAGUUGUGAAUGUUGUAAUAAUAAUAAUUAUUAUGCAAUCAAUUUUAAAAUACUUAGAUAAAUAAAUGAGUUUAACCAAAAAUUUAAUGAAUACAUUUUAUUAUAAUGUGUAUACUUGGUUCAAGAGAAUAAUUGAAGAGUAAAAAAUUGAAUAUUUAUCUUUUUUUCAUUAGUUGGAAUGAUUAUGUGAUAAUAUUUACACAUUAAUCGAUCGGGACCGAUAAUUAUCUUCUGUUCUAUCUAAUAAUGUCUCUUACUUCAUGUAUAUUCAAAUUGAACGAAUUACCUAAAACCAAAAUUGGAAAGAUGACCAUCACAAUAACCACUACUCUCAGAUUGAUUGCUAUUUCUAGAGAGAGAACUUCCACUACUGAAAAGAAAAAAAAAAUGUAAAGUAUUAAAAUGAACAUGAAAGUACAUGUAUCAAAAACUUUAUUCAAAUAAUUGGAAAAAGGUUUGUUGAGAAAAAAAAAAUAUUUAACAUCAACCUUUUAUAUUUUCCAAGUUAUUUAUAACUUAUCUGUUUUUGAUUGAACAAAAAAAAAUAAGAAUACUCUCUGCAAAAAAAGUAAAAUUGUUGGAAAUAUUAUUUCGAUGGAGGGAAAAAAUUACAUAAGAGAUUCAUAAGCUCACGUUUGAUGCCCCGUGACUAGAAAUAAAUGGAGCUACAUAUCUAUCGAUUCCUACACUUAACUCAAUUGGUAUAUUUAUAGUUGGAUGCAAGUAAAAACUCCAUGGAAAAUCAUCAAAGUCACCGUUUUGAAUAGAUUUUACUGGAAAAGGUCACGGUCAUCAUUGAUACUUAUUAUUUAUUUUCAACAAUUGAAUUAAUAUUAUAGCUGGAAAAGCAUACUACUUUAAAAUAUCUCAAUCAA
rnacentral:lncRNA from 1 species